rnacentral:rRNA from 1 species
GACAGAGGGUGCAAACGUUGUUCGGAAUUACUGGGCGUAAAGCGUGUGUAGGCGGUCCACUAAGUCGGGUGUGAAAGCCCUGGGCUCAACCCAGGAAGUGCACUCGAAACUGGCGGGCUAGAGUAUCGGAGAGGUUGGUGGAAUUCUCGGUGUAGAGGUGAAAUUUGUAGAUAUCGAGAGGAACACCGGUGGCGAAGGCGGCCAACUGGACGAAUACUGACGCUGAGACACGAAAGCGUGGGGAGCAAACAGG